CAUGCAUUUAAUUGACUCCUUCGGGGCAUUAGUAAUUUGACUUGCGGGAUCCAUCGAUUAUAACUAGAUGAUGGACAUUGGUGUCAAGAACAGAAAAAGAGAAACGAAUCCAGCAGGAAACAGAGCGAUAAACAGCAAGAACAGCAUGGAUUCAAAUUAUUCCUACUGAGCCACCGCCAGAGGGGCGUCGAGUUCGACUACAGCUACUGCCUACUAGAUAAGAUAAUGAAGCUUUUUUUUUUCUGAUAAGUGAUAAUGAAGCUUUCUUUUGUUUGAUGCCUUCUUUCUGAGCUCUCCCAGCCUUUAUACCUGCAGGCCAAAACAGAGGCGACAACAGAGGAGUCGAGGCAGCUGUAGGAUGAGCACUGGACGGCUGAUGCUCUGAAGAUAAAUCUGCGUCUCUCUCUCGACCCUUCAGCGAUUACUGUUUGAGAGAGGGCAAAAGGAGAGCGACUGAAGUCCGGCGCCGAUUUCUGCUGUUCCUUUUCCGCUCCAGCGGCCGUCGUGCCGGCGGAGAGGAUGAGGAACGGGGAUUGAGGCGGUGUACAUAGUUCCUUCUUGUUUAGGUAGUCUUGGUCUAGUUUGGUGUGGUGUUGUCUUGUCUUCGGUGUGUUCGUCGUCGGUGUGGGAUUGUGUGCCUUGUUUCAUCUGCGUUGCAUGGAAGCUGAGGCUAGCCUUUCCUGGCAGCGGCUGCUGGGUGGAGGCGGCUCUGCUCUUUUGGAAUAAGUUUCUCCGGCUUGUUUUCCACUCUGUCGGUUUCUACUCCGAUGCCGGUGGUGGGCGCAGAAGGAAGAAGCUCUCUGGAUCUGGUCGAUUUGCCAGUGGUGGAUUUUCUCCAGAUCUUGGUGGCUUCUAUGUAGGAGUCUGCUACUCGGCGAUUCAACCAGGUAUGGUUCGAUUGCUGGUGGCCCGAUGCAGAUGGAUGGCUAUGGGUUAUGCGGUUGCUUGGUGGGUGGCCCUGUGCUUCUUCCUCGCCGCUUGUUGGCGAGUUUUGCAGGGCUGCGGCCAAGGAAGUAUGGGGCGUGUCCCUGGCUGAAGUUCCUUCUUUGUCAAGAUCUACUGCGGCUCGAUUCAAAGCCUUCGUGCGAUGGUACUUCUCUUAGUCUUGGUGCUCUUCCUCCUCUCCUUACUCCGGAGCUGCCAUGGCGUGCGACGGAGGUGGAAGCGGGAUGAAGACGGUGGCAAGCACAAAAGAUUUCAAGGAUCUUUUUGUAUUUUUUUCAUAGGGUCUUUUGUGUGAAUUGUGUUUAGUUCCAAAAUUUAUCUCUCCAAAUUUCACUAUUCACCUAUUACAUCAAAUCUCUUGCUUUAUGCAUGAAAGCAUUAAAUAUAGGUAAAUAAAAAAACUAAUUGCAUA